AUCACAGCACUUCGAAAUGGAUCGAUCGCGGCCACUUCGUCCCAUAAAUUCAGGGGACUCCAAACUCUCUGUUUAAUUUCCGAGAUGGCGUUUGUGGCACUCUUCAUAACGGCAACGAAGCUCGUCGGAAUCUUGGUCACUGUUACCGUUGCAGCCAACGCCGUCUCCUUCUCUCGCUACCGGAGAAAGAAUCUCCGGCGUUUCCAAUCCCCUAUCGACGAGUCCUCUGACAUACUAGCCGACUUCGAUGUUAAUGAUGGUAAGUUUUUCUUUGGACUAGCAACAGCACCGGCACACGUUGAAGACAAACUCAAUGAUGCUUGGCUUCAGUUUGCAGAAGAAAACCCUUGUGACAAAUCAGAGCCACAUCUGGGCCUGCAACCUGCUGAUGCAUUAAUGGGUUCUGCUACCGGUGGUGGUGGGUCUCAGCAAGCUUCAUUACCACAAAAGGGUGUUAAUAAAACAGUGAAGAAGAAGAAGCCUCUUAAGAUAGCUAUGGAAGCCAUGAUUAGGGGGUUUGAGAAAUACAUAGAAGAAGAGAGUGAAGAAAAGCCUGCACCAAAAGAGGAAUGUCAUCAUAAUGUAGCUGCAUGGCACAAUGUUCCACACCCGGAAGAAAGGCUAAGGUUUUGGUCUGAUCCUGAUGUAGAACUGAAACUGGCUAAGAAUACUGGAAUAAGUGUCUUCCGAAUGGGAAUAGAUUGGUCAAGAAUCAUGCCCAAAGAGCCAGUCAACGGGCUUAAUGAAAUUGUCAAUUAUGCGGCAUUGGAGCGUUACAAGUGGAUAAUAAACAGGGUACGUUCAUAUGGAAUGAAGGUGAUGCUGACUCUGUUCCAUCACUCAUUGCCACCUUGGGCUGGUGAGUAUGGAGGGUGGAAGCUGGAAAAAACUGUUGAUUAUUUCAUCGAUUUUACCAGGCUUGUUGUAGACUGUGUAUCGGACGUUGUAGACUAUUGGGUGACAUUUAACGAGCCUCAUGUCUUCUGUAUGCUGACUUAUUGUGCCGGUGCUUGGCCUGGUGGUCAUCCUGAUAUGCUGGAGGUUGCCACUUCUGCCCUACCAACUGGUGUUUUCCAACAGGCCAUGCAUUGGAUGGCCAUUGCACACUCAAAAGCCUAUGACUAUAUCCAUGAGCACAGUGCCUUACCAAAUCCAGUAGUCGGAGUAGCGCACCACGUCUCGUUUAUGCGGCCAUAUGGUCUCUUUGAUGUUGCUGCUGUUUCAUUGGCAAAUUCCUUGACUCUCUUCCCAUUUGUGGAUGACAUCUCUGAUAAGCUGGAUUUUAUAGGCAUAAACUACUAUGGGCAGGAGGUGGUCUCUGGUUCUGGACUGAAGCUUGUAGAGACUGAUGAGUACAGUGAAUCUGGACGUGGGGUAUAUCCUGAUGGCCUGUACCGCAUGCUGCUUCAGUUCCAUGAAAGAUACAAACAUCUGAAUGUCCCCUUCAUCAUUUGUGAAAACGGUGUUUCUGACGAGACAGACUUGAUCCGGCAGCCAUAUCUGUUAGAACAUUUGCUCGCUGUUUAUGCUGCCAUGAUCAUGGGUGUCCCUGUGAUUGGCUACCUGUUUUGGACUAUUUCUGAUAAUUGGGAGUGGGCUGAUGGAUAUGGUCCCAAAUUUGGACUUGUAGCAGUUAAUCGAGCUGAUGGUCUUUCCCGGAUUCCACGUCCUUCUUACCAUCUAUUUUCUAAGGUGGUUAAAUCAGGUAGAAUUAGACGUGAAGACAGAAGACGUGCAUGGAUUGAGCUACGAAGAGCCGCUAAAGAGAAUAAAACGCGUCCAUUUUAUCGGGCCAUUAAUAAACAGGGUUUGAUGUAUGCAGGAGGCCUUGAUGAACCCAUACAGCGGCCUUACAUGGUACGAGAUUGGCGGUUUGGACACUAUGAGAUGGAAGGUCUGCAGGACCCAUUGAGUCGCUUAUCAAGAUAUCUUCUCCGACCUUUCUCCAUCAAAAAGAAAACGAAGCCUCAAAGUGAUGAUGCUGAAUUGGUUCUUCUGCCUCUUUAGCAUCUGAUGGCUUGCUCAUAUUGCUAUGCAUGUUGGCAUCUCUUAAUUUCCAAAACCGGGCCCUUGCCACACCGAAUAUCACUAUUCGGAGUGCGUUGACCGCUCAAGAAGUUGUGGAUUAAGGAAGUUCCGAAAAGGAAAUGUUUUGGCUCGUGAAGAAACCACAAACAAAAACUUGAGAAAGAGUUGCCAUAGGAUGGGUAGCUACAGGUUGAGGACCUUGAGUCCCACGGUAAUUAAAACUUUCAAAAAGUUUUGAUGUGGAUAGAGGCCUUGGAGUCGUCUCUUCAUUAUCAGCUUCUUCUUCUUCCUCUACAAAAUGGCCAUGUAGUGGAAAGCAAAAGAGUGAGCUGAGAGCUAGUAUCCAACAAAUUUCAUAGUGUAA